AUAAUACUCCCUCCGUCCAGAAAUACUUGUCGCGGAAAUGCAUAAAAAUGGAUGUAUCUAGAACUAAAAUGCAUCUAGAUACAUCCAUUCCUCCGACAAGUAUUUUCGGACGGAGGGAGUACAUG
rfam:Triticum aestivum genome assembly, contig: Triticum_aestivum_CS42_TGACv1_scaffold_592515_7BS